rnacentral:lncRNA from 1 species
UAAACUUUAAAAGCUUCAGUAGGUCACGCCAAUCAUCCUUCGAACCAUGAAUUUUCUUUAACCAAAAUAGAAGCUUUCGAAACCGGUCCCAAAUUCCGCCUUUAAGUGCAGAGAAUUGAUUUUGUUUCUACAAAUACUAGAAUUCCGAAUUGGAGCAUGAAGUAUAUUCUUUUUUUUUUGUUUUUACUGAGAGUGAAGGUUGUCGAG